rnacentral:piRNA from 1 species
CCCACAUUCGGAUCCCAGGUCCUACGUCC